rnacentral:rRNA from 1 species
AGGACGAACGCUGGCGGCGUGCCUAAUACAUGCAAGUCGAACGGUCUUUCUAUGGAAGCUUGCUUCCACUGAGAAGAUAGUGGCGAACGGGUGAGUAACACGUGGGUAACCUGCCCAUAAGAGGGGGGAUAACAUCCGGAAACGGGUGCUAAUACCGCAUAGUUUUCUUGAUCGCAUGAUCGGGAAAGGAAAGACGGCCUUUGUGCUGUCGCUUAUGGAUGGACCCGCGGCGUAUUAGUUAGUUGGUGAGGUAACGGCUCACCAAGACGAUGAUACGUAGCCGACCUGAGAGGGUGAUCGGCCACAUUGGGACUGAGACACGGCCCAAACUCCUACGGGAGGCAGCAGUAGGGAUCUUCCGCAAUGGACGAAAGUCUGACGGAGCAACGCCGCGUGAGUGAAGAAAGGUUUUCGGAUCGUAAAACUCUGUUGUCAGAGAAGAACAAGUUGGAGAGUAACUGCUCCAGCCUUGACGGUAUCUGACCAGAAAGCCACGGCUAACUACGUGCCAGCAGCGGC